GAGUUUGAUCGUGGCUCAGAUUGAACGCUGGCGGCAGGCCUAACACAUGCAAGUCGAGCGGUAACAGAGAUAGCUUGCUAUCUGCUGACGAGCGGCGGACGGGUGCGUAACACGUAGGAAUCUACCCAGUAGCGGGGGAUAGCCCGGAGAAAUCCGGAUUAAUACCGCAUACGCCUACGGGGAAGCAGGGCGUCUUGUUCUUCUAUGAAGAGCGGACCUUGCACUAUUGGAUGAGCCUGCGUCGGAUUAGCUGGUUGGUGGGGU
rnacentral:rRNA from 1 species